rnacentral:rRNA from 1 species
ACUCCUACGGGAGGCAGCAGUGGGGAAUAUUGCACAAUGGGCGCAAGCCUGAUGCAGCCCAUGCCGCGUGUAUGAAGAAGGCCUUCGGGUUGUAAAGUACUUUGCAGCAGUGAGGAAGGUGGGUAUGUUAAUAGCAUACUCAUUUGACGUUAGCGUGCAGAAGAAGCACCGGCUAACUCCGUGCCAGCAGCCGCGGUAAUACGG